GGAAAGAACCAAGCCCCAGUGUUGCAGAGGCAGUCACCAGAGGCCAAGGCCAGCCAGACUUGAUGGGACUGGCAGAUUUUGCCUGGAAGCAACCCUUGGAUAUACAGAAUUUUAGAGGAAGGAAAGCACAGAGCUCAAGUGUUUCAAAUGGAGAUGAGGAGAGAGAUGGCUCCUGGGAGGCUCAGCCAGCCAUAUCUGUUUCUCCUGGCAGCUUUCAUCAUGGAGGAGUCCUUGGAUAUAUGGAAUUUGGGAGGAAGAAUUUCUAAUUUGACAAUGGACACCUUGAGAAGAAGGAUGGUUCUUUUCCAUUGGAAGGAAAGCACUGAGCCCCAGUGUUUGGAAAGCAGUCCCCAAGAGGCCAAGGGCAGCCAGACCUGUCAGUCCUGGCAACUUUCACUUGGGAGCAAUCCUUGGAUGUACAGAAUUUUGGAAGUGGAAUCCCAGUUUUGGCCAUGGGCACCUGGUCAAGAUGGAUGAUUUGCUCCUACAGGAAAGAGAAGUGCCAAGUCCAAGUGUUCUGGAAGAUGAUGAGAGGUAGCCACCCUUAGGCCAAGACAGCCAGACCUGUCUCUCCUGGCAGCUUUUGUCUAGGGGCUAUCCUUGGACAUAGAGCAUUUUGGAGGUGGUGAAAUCUCAAUUUUGGCUGUGGAUACGUGGACAGGAAUAGUUCUUUCUAUGAAGAAAGAAAGCGCAGAGCCUCAGUGUUUCAGAGGCAGAUGAGUGCCAGCCCUCAGGAAGCCAAGGCCAGCCAGACUUGUCACUCCUGGCAGCUUUUGUCUCAGAGUUAUCCUUGGAUAUAGGGAAUGCUGGAGACAGAUGCCCAAUUUUGGCCAUGUGUACUUGGUCGGGAUGGAUGUUUUUUUCCCAUAAGAAAGAAAAGCACAUGGUCCCAGUGUUUCAAAGACAGAUGAGAGAUGGCCCCUGGAUGGCCAAGGCAACCAGAUCUGUCACUCCUGGCGGAUUUCAUCUGGAAACAACCUUUGCAUAUAAGGAAAUGUGGAGAAGGAAUCCAAAUUUUGGCCAUGGGGCCUUGGAGGAGAAGGACACUUCUCUCUCAUAAGAAGGAAAGCCCAGAGCCCCAGUGCUCCAGGGACAGAUGAGAAGAAGCCCUCAACAUGCCAAGGUCAGCUGGACCUGUCAGGUGGUCCCCAGGAGGCCCAGCCAGCCAGACCUGUUCCCUGUUCCCUUGGUUUUGUGGGACCCCAGAGUGUCACAAUGGUCUCCUUGGUUUCAUGAGGCCCUGGAGUGUCAGAAUGUUCCCCCUGCUUCUGCAGUGUCACAAUGGCCCCGUGCUUCCAUGAGACCUUGCAACGUCACAAUGGCUCAUGCUCCCACAAAGCCCUGAUGUGUCACCAUGGCCCCUCGGCUCCAUGCCCCCUCGCUGUAUCACAAUGGCUUCUCUGUGACACUACAGGAUCCACAAGGUCACCAUGGACCCUUGGUUCCUUGGGGCCCCGAGUUUCACAAUGAUCUCCUUGAUUGCAUGAGGCACCAGAGUGUCACAGUGGCCCCUUGGUUCCAUGAGGUUCCGUAGUGUCACCAUGGUGUCCUUGGACCCGCGUUGUCACAACUGACCCCUGGCUCCAUGAGGUUCCGUACAGUCACUGUGGUCGCUGUCAGAGGCAGGAUGAGAUCAAUGUCCCGAGACACCUUGGGAUGCUUGGAAUGCCCAUGUGGGGCCAGGGCCGGGUUAGGCCUUGGUUUGUAGUGGGACUUCUUGGGCGGGAGGGGUGAGAACCUUGUAGAGAGCCGGGCAGAUAGGGACCCCAAUCUGGGACAACUGUGGAAGCUCCCUUCAAGAUUUCACCUUUUGGGAACACGGGAGAGGGAAGAGGGGUAGGACGGGGAGAACCACAUGAAAUGGGGAUUAAAGUGUUAACUGCCGGUUGCUUUCUCCAUUCCCACCUUGAAUUUAAAAUGGCUCUUACUUGGUGAAACCAGAAAAUGAUCUUAGAAAGGGAGGAGUUCCCUGACCGUCCUAAUUCUGCCAACUUUGCAAUGACUACAUCCCAAAAAUCGACCCCAUACAAUUGGCCAGUGGUAACCUCCAGGAAAUGAGAAAACAACCAAACAAUUAACUUUCUUAAUUCUCACUUUUUAACAUGAACAUCCCCACCCGCAAGGAUUCCCUCAACUUGGAUAAACACUGUUUUCUGGAUCCCAGAAAGCCUCGCACCCAUGGCUUAUGAUGUUAAGAGAGAGAACCAAUACCCACCACCCGUAAGAAAAUAUAAAAGGAAAAGGCAGAAAAACCCACACCG